GUCACUUUGCCGGAGUGGUUAACGGGAUCGCCUGCUAAGCUUAUGUAAUCAGCUUACAUGAGCGUCGUAGCGGUUGGGCUUUGCCCGCGUGUGUUCGAAUCGCACAGGUGACG
rnacentral:tRNA from 1 species